UGAGGAAUAUUGGUCAAUGGGCGAGAGCCUGAACCAGCCAAGUAGCGUGCAGGAUGACGGCCCUAUGGGUUGUAAACUGCUUUUAUGUGGGGAUAAAGUGCGUGACGUGUCAUGCAUUGCAGGUACCACAUGAAUAAGGACCGGCUAAUUCCGUGCCAGCAGCCGCGGUAAUACGGAAGGUCCGGGCGUUAUCCGGAUUUAUUGGGUUUUAAGGGAGCGUAGGCGGUCUAUUAAGCGUGUUGUGAAAUUUACCGGCUCAACCGGUGGCUUGCAUCGCGAACUGGUCGACUUGAGUAUGCAGGAAGUAGGCGGAAUUCAUGGUGUAGCGGUGAAAUGCUUAGAUAUCAUGACGAACUCCGAUUGCGCAGGCAGCUUACUGUAGCAUAAAUGACGCUGAUGCUCGAAAGAGCGGGUAUCAAACAGG
rnacentral:rRNA from 1 species